UUUUUUAUAAAUUACUAAUAUGAUUUUUUUUGUCUAAAGGGGGCAAUUGAAAUUUCCAAGUAGUACGGGUGAAAAAUUCCAUCGGUCGAGAUUUUAUCGAAAAUUAAAACUAAAAAAUAUUUUUUCAAGGGUGUGGUAAAUGUGAGUAGGGGUCCGCCCCUGCAAGAUAUAACCCUUGAAUGUAAAGAAGAAGUUAAGGUGAUAUAGUAUCUCAUUGAAAUAUGUAUUGUUAUUUUUUUAGUGAACUUUCUAAGACAUUUAACUUGAUUAUUUUGUAAUUAUGAUGUUUGGAGAAAGUGUUAAACCUGACCUCACGUGUCAGGGACCAAGAACAAACACUACACGUGAGGAUUCAAGAGAGUAAAAGAAAUAUAUAAAAAAUUUUGCAUUUCGCAUGGCUGACCAAAACAACACAUCCAUUCAGCCUUAAAUGCCAGCAGCCCGUGGGCGGACCUACUUUAUGGCCAAGUGGCUAAAAUCAACGAAAUAUGGUCAAACUUAUGGAAAACACAACGCUCCAUAAUUCUACACCACAAAAGCUUUGGUUUAAAAGUUUAAGUUAAUUAUUUGAAAGUGAAGAGGCAGGUUUGAUUCUCGUUUGUGUCAUUUUCACCGGACAUCUAGGUGAAGGGACGGAUCUAGGCUU
rnacentral:lncRNA from 1 species